GAUGAACGCUGGCGGCGUGCCUAAUACAUGCAAGUCGAACGCUGGAGAUCUAGCUUGCUAGAUCGAAGGAGUGGCGAACGGGUGAGUAAUACAUAAGCAACCUACCCACGAAGACUGGGAUAAUCUCUGGAAACGGGGACUAAUACCGGAUAGGUAAUCGGAAGGCAUCUUCUGGUUAUUAAAGGUUAAAAACACUGGUGGAUGGGCUUAUGGCGCAUUAGUUAGUUGGUGAGGUAACGGCCCACCAAGACGAUGAUGCGUAGCCGGCCUGAGAGGGUGAACGGCCACAUUGGGACUGAGACACGGCCCAGACUCCUACGGGAGGCAGCAGUAGGGAAUUUUCGGCAAUGGGGGCAACCCUGACCGAGCAACGCCGCGUGAGUGAAGACGGCCUUCGGGUUGUAAAGCUCUGUUGUAAGGGAAGAACGGUAGAUAGAGAAUACCUAAGUGACGGUACCUUACCAGAAAGCCACGGCUAACUACGUG
rnacentral:rRNA from 1 species